GGAAGUCGGAGAGACGACCGCGGGCUCAGGCUCGAGGAAAGUCCGGGCUCCGCAGGGCAGGGUGCUGGGUAACGCCCAGGGGGAGUGAUCCCACGGAAAGUGCCACAGAAAACAUACCGCCUCGGCCGCGAGGCCGCGGUAAGGGUGAAAAGGUGAGGUAAGAGCUCACCGGGCGCCUGGUGACAGGCGUCGCAUGGUAAACCCCACCCGGAGCAAGACCAUAUAGGGGAGGAUGAGGUCGCCCGCCUCGCUCGACUCCCGGGUAGGUCGCUGGAGGCCGGCGGCAACGUCGGUCGCAGAUACAUGGUCGUCGCCGUUCGCGGCAACAGGACCCGGCUUACGACCGGCUUCCCCAU
rnacentral:RNase_P_RNA from 1 species